UACGUAGGGUGCAAGCGUUUGUCCGGAAUUAUUGGGCGUAAAGAGCUCGUAGGUGGUUUGUUACGUCCGCUGUGAAAACCUAGGGCUUAACCCCGGGUCUGCAUUCGAUACGGGCUAGCUAGAGUGUGGUAGGGGAGAUCGAAUUCCUGGUGUAGCGGUGAAAUGCGCAGAUAUCAGGAGGAACACCGGUGGCGAAGGCGGAUCUCUGGGCCAUUACUGACGCUGAGGAGCGAAAGCGUGGGGAGCGAACAGG
rnacentral:rRNA from 1 species